rnacentral:other from 19 species
AUUUCUCUGAGAUGUUUGCAAGCGGGCCAGUCCCCUGAGCCGAUAUUUCAUACCACAAGAAUGUGGCGCUCCACGGUUGGUGAGCAUGCUCGGUCCGUCCGAGAAGCCUUAAAACUGUGACGACACAUUCACCUUGAACCAAGGGUUCAAGGGUUACAGCCUGCGGCGGCAUCUCGGAGAUUCC